AUGGCUGGAGAACUGGCAGACAAGAAGGACCGGGAUGCGUCCCCUGCCAAGGAGGAGAGGAAGCGCUCCCGCACCCCAGACAGGGACCGGGAUCGGGACCGGGACCGGAAAGUUUCCCCCUCCAAGGACAGGAAGCGUCACCGGUCCCGGGACAGGAGACGAGGCAGCCGGUCACGAUCCCGCUCCCGGUCCAAGUCGACAGAGAGGGACCGUCGGCACAAAGAGCGCGACCGGGACCGGAACAAGAAGGACCGGGACCGGGAGAAGGAUGGGCACCGGCGGGACAAGGACAGGAAGCGAUCAAGUUUGUCCCCGAGCAGGGGGAAGGACUCAAAGUCCCGGAAGGAGCGGGACUUACGGAAAGCAGAGGAAGAGGAAGAGAAUGCCCUGAAGAAGGAGAAGGCCCAACCGCUGUCCUUGGAGGAGCUGCUGGCGAAGAAGAAGGCUGAAGAGGAGGCAGAAGCCAAGCCCAAGUUCCUGUCCAAGGCCGAGCGGGAGGCCGAGGCUUUGCGACGGCGGCAGCAGGAGGGGGAGGAGCGGCAGCGGCUGCUGGAGGAGGAGAGGAAGAAGAGGAAGCAGUUCCAGGAGAUGGGGAGGAA